rnacentral:sRNA from 1 species
AUGGCUGUCGUCAGCUCGUGUCGUGAGAUGUUGGGUUAAGUCCCGCAACGAGCGCAACCCCUACCCUUAAUUGCCAUCGGGUUAUGCCGGGCACUUUAGGGGGACUGCCGGUGACAAGCCGGAGGAGGGUGGGGAUGACGUCAAGUCCUCAUGGCCUUUAUGACCAGGGCUACACACGUGUUACAAUGGGAGUUACAGAGGGAAGCUAAACCGCGAGGUCAUGCCAAUCCCAGAAAAACUUUCUCAGUUCGGAUCGCAGUCUGCAACUCGACUGCGUGAAGCUGGAAUCGCUAGUAAUCGCGGAUCAGCACGCCGCGGUGAAUACGUUCCCGGGCCUUGUACACACCGCCCGUCACACCAUGGGAGCCGACAAGGGCAGAAGUCGCCGAGCUAACCUUCGGGAAGCAGGCGCCCAAGCUGUUGUUGACGACUGGGGUGAAGUCGUAACAAGGUAGCCGUAGGAGAACCUGCGGCUGGAUCACCUCCUUUCUAAGGACGCCGGAGAUGCUUUAUGCUUAUCUCCGGAUAGUCAAAGUCGAAACAGACUCUCUUCUCUUCUCUCCCUUUUCUCCUGUAAAUGCUAAGUUAUGAAUUUAGAGCAACGAAGGAAUUAAAUUCGUUACUGUGGACUCCUAAUUUCAAGAGGGGCCUGUAGCUCAGCUUGGUUAGAGCGCAUCCCUGAUAAGGAUGAGGCCGGUGGUUCAAGUCCACCCAGGCCCACCAGGUUCAGUGGGGGAUUAGCUCAGCUGGUAGAGCGCCUGCUUUGCAAGCAGGAGGUCAGCGGUUCGACCCCGCUAUCCUCCACCAAAUUAAUGAACAGUAAAAAAAGGUGGUGCAGCUUAAGCAGAAGAUAAGCUUCAGCAAUUAUUUAAUAAUUUCUGAAUUUUAUUUUUUAAUAUCUUAGACAAUUGAAUCGGAGGUUUUGGAGACACAAGAUCAAAUGUGAGGGUCUCCAAGGGUUGACGAUCUUGACUGUUAAAGUCAGGUAGUAAGGGCGCAGGGCGGAUGCCUUGGCUCUGGGAAGCGAAGAAGGACGUGGCCAGCUGCGAUAAGCCUCGGGGAAGAGCAAACAUCUUUUGAUCCGGGGAUUUCCGAAUGGGGAAACCCGG